CUUCUACAAAUCUACCAAGGUGGCAAAACUCCAGAAUUAGGACAUGCUGUGUAUCCUUGAGCAAUUUUCUCCUAUGGGUGGCCUGAUUUCCUCAUCUGGGGCAUGGGGACAGGCCCAGCCUCCUUGCUGGGCCUGGAGGGAUGAGACAGGACAGUUUGGUGGCCAUGGUCUGUGUGUGUGGAGGGAGUGGUGGCCACCACCUGCAGGUGAAUUUCUUCUCCCUCAUCCAGAUCUCACCUUGGUGCCCACACAGCCCUGCAGGCUCUGUCAUGUCAUAUCUUACCCCAGAUCCUGCACUUUCUCCUCGCGUCACAAGAUCUCCCACCCCUGCCACUGGCCGAUCAGACCUGUGCAGCCUGCAGCCCUGCAAGAAUUUGAUGGGGACUGUGCCUGCCUGCUUCCCACAUGCUGUCCGUAUCGCAGGAGGGGAACUCCAUCCUGGCUGAAGGCACCACCAUCUCUCUCCUCUGCUUGCCACACCACCCCACUCUCUUCUCAACAGCAGCAGGUGCCUUGGUCACCUGCAGAGGUGGCUGUCUCUCGGUCCCUGUCCUACUCUCAGUGCUGGAAAGCCUCCUUGGACACACAGAGUAAAGCACCAGGGUCCAUGCUACUUCCUGUGCUUGGCCUCAGACAUUCACCCAUAGCGUCAGGAGCCUGGCCUCGUCUCUUACUUUUGAGGUGACCCUCUUUGGGAGGACUUCCCUGACCACCCCCAGCCCCAUCAGCCAUAGGAGGUACAAAUCGUAGAGUGAGGGUCUGAGGAAGGAAGAGGCAUCCUGCCCUGUACAGACCAUUCCAUCCCAGGGAGGGGUGGGCAGGGGCUCUGGCCCUGUGGAGCAGUCUCUAUGGCUUUGGGGAUUUAGGUACAGAGCUCACAGAGGCUGCCUCUUGGGUGGCCUGGUCCUUCCAACAAUAGUUCUGAGGACAGGGCCUGGGCCCCAGGCUUCAUGGAGGAGGAGCAGGUGAUCGUCAGUUCCCCCGCCACUUGCUCUGGCCUGCAGGUGAAGUCCUCCUUCAGUGCUCCUCUGAGACACACUUGCAGGGCAGGGGCACUGCCCUGAGCUCAGUGCAAACAUGAGAGGUGGAGGAGGGUGUUAGCAAGGACCCAGAGGGGACAGCUGACAUUUUCAUUCUAGGAAAUACAUCCCUGUCCCUCACCAUGGCAUUUGGGGCUUGGCUGUCCAUUACCGGGGCUCAGAAUACUCUGGCAAAGUGUUUUGAUAUUGAAGUACUGUGGACUCAGAGAGACAGGAGCCUCCGUGGAGCACCAGGUCUCUGCAACCCUCUUGCCCACUUCUUCCCACCCUCUUUCUCUCAGUGGCAGGAUACAAAACAGAGCCACUCUCAGAAGGCAGCCAUAAGACUCACAUCACCUAGCCCCAUACCCACCCCAGUAGAAGGUGGCCCUCUGACCCACCCUGUCUGAGAGUAAAGGUCCUAAGACCCUCAUUGCUAAGGGUCCUGCCCUAGAGUCACCCAGGGGGAAGGGUGAACCAAGAAGAAUCUGCACAGACUUUCUGGGGCCCUUCAGUCCAUCACCACAAGGUCACAUUUUUGUCCAGUCAUAUGUCUACCCAGCUGUCUAUGUUUCACCAAACCUAAGCAUAAAACCCACUUCUCCCUGGGCCUUUGGGUCCUGGUUUCUGAAGUCUCGCUGGAUGAGUAAAAUGUUGUAACUCUGUCAUGCUUUCUCGUGUUGGCUUCUCUUUUG
ensembl:lincRNA uncharacterized LOC106148496